rnacentral:rRNA from 1 species
UACGUAGGGUGCAAGCGUUGUCCGGAAUUAUUGGGCGUAAAGAGCUCGUAGGCGGUUUGUCGCGUCUGCUGUGAAAACUCGGGGCUUAACUCCGGGCCUGCAGUGGGUACGGGCAGACUAGAGUGCGGUAGGGGAGACUGGAAUUCCUGGUGUAGCGGUGAAAUGCGCAGAUAUUAGGAGGAACACCGGUGGCGAAGGCGGGUCUCUGGGCCGUAACUGACGCUGAGGAGCGAAAGCGUGGGUAGCAAACAGG